rnacentral:misc_RNA from 1 species
GUGCAACAACAAGCACAGGCAAAGGCUCAAAUGCUGCGAUAUGAGGACGAACUGGCUAGAAAAAGGAUGCAGACAGAUCAUGAAGCUCAGAGGCGACAUAAUGUUGAAUUGGUUAAGAUGCAAGAGGAGUCUUCGAUACGAAAAGAACAGGCAAGACGAGCUACUGAGGAGCAGAUCCAUGCUCAACAGCGCCAGACUGAGAAAGAGAGAGCUGAAAUAGAACGGGAAACAAUAAGAGUUAAAGCCAUGGCUGAGGCUGAAGGCCGGGCCCAUGAGGCAAAAUUGACUGAGGAUCAUAACAGAAGAAUGUUAGUUGAACG